rnacentral:rRNA from 1 species
GAUGAACGCUAGCUACAGGCUUAACACAUGCAAGUCGCGGGGCAGCAUGGGGGUUGCUUGCACUCCCCGAUGGCGACCGGCGCACGGGUGAGUAACGCGUAUCCAACCUGCCCUUCACCACGGGAUAACCCGGCGAAAGUCGGACUAAUACCGUAUGUUGUCCAUUGACGGCAUCCGAUUUGGACGAAAGGUUUGGCGGUGAAGGAUGGGGAUGCGUCCGAUUAGCUGGACGGCGGGGUGACGGCCCACCGUGGCGACGAUCGGUAGGGGUUCUGAGAGGAAGGUCCCCCACACUGGAACUGAGACACGGUCCAGACUCCUACGGGAGGCAGCAGUGAGGAAUAGUGGUCAAUGGGCGUAAGCCUGAACCAGCCAAGUAGCGUGCAGGAUGACGGCCCUAUGGGUUGUAAACUGCUUUUAUGCGGGGAUAAAGUGGCCCACGUGUGGGUUUUUGCAGGUACCGCAUGAAUAAGGACCGGCUAAUUCCGUG